CGGAUAUGUUAGAGGUUUUCGGUGGGGGUCGUCGUCGGUCUCGGAAGCCAGGCAGGCGUGACAGUGCCCUGCUGGAGUGAUGGUGGUGGAAGCGUGACAGGACAGGAGACCGAAGGACACGGUGGAGAAGACUUGGUGAGUGGGAGUGAAGCUUGAGCAAGCACCAUGAGGUCCGCCGGAGAGGAGAGCCGUUCUGAUGUACACAUAGGUACAGAUCCGACGAGACCCGGACAAUGACGACAUACAGAGCACUAACAGAGAGACCAUGACAAACAAGAGAUUGAAGAGCAAUAAGAAAGAGGAGGUAAGAGCUCGACGCCGGCGAAGAA
rnacentral:lncRNA from 1 species